CCUUGAAAUAAAGGUGACAGUCUGU
rnacentral:piRNA from 1 species